UACAGAGGGGGCAAGCGUUGUUCGGAAUUACUGGGCGUAAAGGGCGCGUAGGCGGCCUGUUAAGUCGAACGUGAAAUCCCCGGGCUCAACCCGGGAACUGCGUCCGAUACUGGCAGGCUUGAAUCCGGGAGAGGGAUGCGGAAUUCCAGGUGUAGCGGUGAAAUGCGUAGAUAUCUGGAGGAACACCGGUGGCGAAGGCGGCAUCCUGGACCGGCAUUGACGCUGAGGCGCGAAAGGUAGGGGAGCAAACAGG
rnacentral:rRNA from 1 species